rnacentral:rRNA from 1 species
CCUACGGGAGGCAGCAGUGAGGAAUAUUGGUCAAUGGGCUUACGCCUGAACCAGCCAAGUCGCGUGAGGGAAGACUGCCCUAUGGGUUGUAAACCUCUUUUGUCAGGGAGCAACGCCGGCUACGUGUAGCCGGACUGAGAGUACCUGAAGAAAAAGCAUCGGCUAACUCCGGGCCAGCAGCGGCGGUAAUACGGAGGAUGCGAGCGUUAUCCGGAUUGAUUGGGUUUAAAGGGUGCGUAGGCGGACUGCCAAGUCAGCGGUAAAAUCGCGGGGCUCAACCUCGCUCCGCCGUUGAAACUGGCGUUCUUGAGUGGGCGAGAAGUAUGCGGAAUGCGUGGUGUAGCGGUGAAAUGCAUAGAUAUCACGCAGAACUCCGAUUGCGAAGGCAGCAUACCGGCGCCCAACUGACGCUGAAGCACGAAAGCGUGGGUAUCGAACAGGAUUAGAUACCCCUGUAGUC